rnacentral:rRNA from 1 species
ACGAACGCUGGCGGCGCGCUUAACACCUGCCAGUCGAACGGAAAGGCCUGCUUUCCCUUGUGGAUUGCGGGUACUCGAGUGGCGAACGGGUGAGUAACACGUGAGUGAUCUGCCCCCAACUUGGGUAUAAGCCUGGGAAACUGGGUCUAAUUCCCGAUAGGACUGCAGGGUGGUGCCUGUGGUGGAAAACGAUUUUCUAGUGGUUGGGGAUGAGCUCGCGGCCUAUCAGCUUGUUGGUGGGGUAAUGGCCUACCAAGGCGGCGACGGGUAGCCGGCCUGAGAGGGUGGACGGCCACAUUGGGACUGAGAUACGGCCCAGACUCCUACGGGAGGCAGCAGUGGGGAAUAUUGCACAAUGGGCGGAAGCCUGAUGCAGCGACGCCGCGUGGGGGAUGACGGCCUUCGGGUUGUAAACUCCUUUGGACCGCGAGGAAGCCACCUGGUUGGAAGGGUGGUGACGGUAGUGGUAGAAGAAGCACCGGCUAACUACGUG